rnacentral:rRNA from 1 species
UACGAACGCUGGCGGCGUGCCUAAUACAUGCAAGUCGAGCGGACCAAAGGGAGCUUGCUCCUGGAGGUUAGCGGCGAACGGGUGAGUAACACGUGGGCAACCUACCUGUAAGACUGGGAUAACAUCGAGAAAUCGGUGCUAAUACCGGAUAAUAAAAAGAACUGCAUGGUUCUUUUUUGAAAGAUGGUUUCGGCUAUCACUUACAGAUGGGCCCGCGGCGCAUUAGCUAGUUGGUGAGGUAACGGCUCACCAAGGCAACGAUGCGUAGCCGACCUGAGAGGGUGAUCGGCCACACUGGGACUGAGACACGGCCCAGACUCCUACGGGAGGCAGCAGUAGGGAAUCUUCCGCAAUGGACGAAAGUCUGACGGAGCAACGCCGCGUGAGUGAUGAAGGUUUUCGGAUCGUAAAACUCUGUUGUUAGGGAAGAACAAGUGCCGUUCGAAAGGGCGGCACCUUGACGGUACCUAACGAGAAAGCCACGGCUAACUACGUGCCAGCAGCCGCGGUAAAGUACAG